CCCCUUGUGCACACCUUGUAGGCACCCAAACCCACCUAUGUAUUCCUUCAUCUCACACUCUGUUGAAUGGUGCCAUGGGACGCAUCUAAAGGAUUAUUUGUAAAAAAGUAAUCAUAGAAACAACUUUCAACAAUGGAUCUCUUGGCUCUCGCAUCGAUGAAGAACGCAGCGAAAUGCGAUACGUAAUGUGAAUUGCAGAAUUCCGUGAAUCAUCGAAUCUUUGAACGCACCUUGCGCCUCUUGGUAUUCCGAGGGGCAUGCCUGUUUGAGUGUCAUUGAAACCCUCAAGAAGAAAGUCUUUCGGGGCCUUCUUUUUGGAACUGGAGUGUGCUGGCCUUUUCGUGGAAGAGCCCAGCUCCUCUGAAAUGCAUUGGCGAUGUGACAUCCUCAUGCCAUCACGCUUCUCUAGCAUUGAUAGUCUCUUUCAUGCUUUAGUGUGUUGUGCUUAGGUGGAAAGUUUCGCUCGCUUACAGACCCAUUGGGGGUUCCCCCCCAUGCUUUGACCAAAUUAACCUCA
rnacentral:rRNA from 1 species